GCUCAUACACAAAGUAGAUUUUAUUUGAUUUUCUGUGCUGCUCAUGAAACAUUCCUUUAUAUUUUGGGGAAACAGUAAUAACGUUUUCAAAGAUAGAAUAACAUAAAUUAUUCUUUAUUUAUUUAAUUUACCUAUAUUAUUAUGUCACAUUAUUCCAGUUUUUACUGUAUAUUUGACCAAAUAAAUGUAGCCUUCAUAAACAUAAUUAAAACUUUAAAAAAUACAUCGAGCAGAUCCCAAACGUUUGAACAGUAGUGUACAUUUUGCCAUUGUGAACACAGUGUUUUUAAUGAAAUGUUUUUUGUCUUGCCCUUUAUGAGUUCACCAAACCAAGAUUUUCCGGAUCCCACCAUUGCUGCAGCAAAGCCAAAUUUUAGUGUGGCUAGAAGACCAUCACAGGUUGACGUCCAGCCCAGCAGUGUGUAGUGCUUCUACACCAAGCACAGCUACACAAGACCUUCAAGUUUCUGCCCCCGUCCUCACAUCCAUUGCGGCAGUGACCAGCUCCACAGAGCCGUCCAGCAUUGUCUCAACUGCAUUGCUGCAAGCUCCAUCAGCUGUUCCACUUCCUCGCCUUUGGGCUGAAACCUUGCCACCAGAGGACCACAAGAGGAUUGCCAGCAGGCUUUUAAAAUGGGGUCCAAAGGAAAGCCAGAGCUUUGUAACAACCUCCAGCUCUGGUAUUACCCUCCACAGCCUGCACUUACAUACAAUCAGGCUCCAGCUCCAGCCAGAUUUUUCUGUCAAUCACUUUUGCUGUGGAUGCCAUACAAGCUGUGGAGGGUCAAAGUCCUUUGCCCUAAUCCUGCAUGUGGACGGCAUCAGCUGACAGGUGGAGGUCUUCAAAAAAGGGCACGGCUGGUUCUGGACAUC